GGAGAGAUGUCCGAGCUGGUCUAAGGGGCACGACUGGAAAUCGUGUGUUGGGAAACCGACCGAGGGUUCGAAUCCCUCUCUCUCCGCCA
rnacentral:tRNA from 1 species